GGGUAUGUGGCUUAGUGGUAGAGCAAGUACAUAUCAUGCACAAGACCCUGGGUUCAAUCCCUAGUCUGUCUC
rnacentral:tRNA from 1 species